CAGCCGCCGCGGUAAUACGUAGGGGGCUAGCGUUAUCCGGAUUUACUGGGCGUAAAGGAUGCGUAGGUGGUCCUUCAAGUCGGUGGUUAAAGGCUACGGCUCAACCGUAGUAAGCCGCCGAAACUGGAGGACUUGAGUGCAGGAGAGGAAAGUGGAAUUCCCAGUGUAGCGGUGAAAUGCGUAGAUAUUGGGAGGAACACCAGUAGCGAAGGCGGCUUUCUGGACUGCAACUGACACUGAGGCACGAAAGCGUGGGUAGCAAACAGGAUUAGAUACCCCAGUAGUCCCUGUCUCUUAUACA
rnacentral:rRNA from 1 species